UACGGAGGGGCUAGCGUUGUUCGGAAUUACUGGGCGUAAAGCGCACGUAGGCGGCUUUGUAAGUUAGAGGUGAAAGCCCGGGCUCAACUCCGGAAUUGCCUUAAGACUGCAUCGCUAGAAUUGUGGAGAGGUAAGUGGAAUUCCGAGUGUAGAGGUGAAAUUCGUAGAUAUUCGGAAGAACACCAGUGGCGAAGGCGACUUACUGGACACAUAUUGACGCUGAGUGCGAAAGCGUGGGAGCAACAG
rnacentral:rRNA from 1 species